rnacentral:rRNA from 1 species
AUGGCAGUGGCGGCGGCGGCAGCGUCGGCGUCCUCCGUCGGCCCCGACCCGUCCUCGUCGUCCGUGGCGCACCGGCGCCGCCUCACCGACGUCGAGCGGCCGGACGACGGCGACGGCUGCGUCAGGCACCGCGGGGUCCGGGCGUUGUUCUCCGUCCGGAGGAGCUACGGCAAGAGGGCGUCGUCCGUGGUCGACCAGGCGUGGGUGCGCAACGCGGUGGCGUCGCUGCUGGGCCUCCUCGUCCUCGUCGGGCUCCUCGGCUCGCACCGGGCCGUCGGCGGCGGCGGCGGCGGCGACGGCGACGGCGGGAGGCUGCUGCGGAGGGUGGACGGGGAGGCGCUGGGCUGGCGGGAGGAGAACCUGACGGCCCUCGCCCGCCGGUCGCCCGACACGCCGAUUCCCAAUAUAUGGACGAUGCCGGCUAGCGAGGGUUACAGCAAAUGCAUCGAACGCCCGAGAAACCACCACAGAACAAACAAUGCAACAGCUGGUUAUAUAAUGGUUGAUGCCAAUGGUGGACUGAACCAGAUGAGAAUGGGAAUAAGCGAUAUGGUUGCAGUUGCUAAGCUCAUGAAUGCGACACUAGUAAUCCCUACACUGGAUCACAGAUCAUUUUGGACCGAUCCAAGUGAUUUCGAAGAUAUAUUUGAUGUGGAGCAUUUCAAGAAAACUCUAGAGAAUGAUAUUGUGAUUGUGGACUCCUUGCCACCAGCUUACAGAAGGUCGAAACUCUAUAUGAGGGCACCAUCUUCCUGGUCCAGGGCUUCUUACUACAGAGCUUUCACGAGGACACUAAAGAAGGUCAAAGUUGUUAAAUUCACACAUACAGAUUCACGAAUUGUCAACAACGGUCUUGCUCCUCAUAUCCAACAACUCCGCUGCCGAACGAAUUACGAGGCACUAAAAUACAAGAAAGAAAUUGAAGAUCUAGGUAAUACUCUAGUUGAUAGACUGAGGAAUGGGUCCAACCAUUAUAUCGCACUUCAUUUAAGAUAUGAGAAGGACAUGCUCUCAUUUACUGGCUGCAGCCAUAAUCUAACACGUCAGGAGGCAGAAGAGCUGAGAGAAAUGAGACUCAAGGUGCGGCACUGGAAAGAAAAGGAAAUUAACAGCAAGGAGAGGCGACUUCAAGGAGGCUGCCCUAUGACUCCUCGUGAAGCAGCUCUUUUUCUUAAAGCUAUGGGCUAUCCUUCCACGACAAAUAUCUACAUUGUAGCAGGUGAAAUAUAUGGUGGGCAUAGCAUGGACGAAUUAAAGGCCGCAUAUCCAAAUGUCUACACACAUUAUAGUCUAGCAACAGUAGAUGAAUUAGAGCCCCUCAAGCCGUACCAAAACAGAUUAGCUGCAGUGGACUACAAUGUAGCCCUCCACAGUGAUGUUUUUGUGUAUACAUAUGACGGAAAUAUGGCCAAAGCAGUACAGGGUCAUAGAAGAUUUGAAGGAUUCCGGACAACCAUUAACCCUGACAGGCAGAAGCUUGUGGAGCUCAUUGACAAGCUUGAUGAGGGUACAAUUACUUGGAAUGACUUUCAAAGCAAAGUGAAAACACAUCAUGAAAACAGACUUGGAGGUCCAUAUCAGAGGUUGUCUGGUCACAGUCCCAGGCAAGAGGAGCAUUUUUAUGCAAAUCCUCUCCCAGGGUGCUUGUGCAAAAAAACACAAAGGAUUUAG